AUUGAACGCUGGCGGCAUGCUUUACACAUGCCAGUCGAACGGUAACAGGCCGCAAGGUGCUGACGAGUGGCGAACGGGUGAGUAAUGCAUCGGAACGUGCCCAGUCGUGGGGGAUAACUACUCGAAAGAGUAGCUAAUACCGCAUACGAUCUAUGGAUGAAAGCGGGGGACCGUAAGGCCUCGCGCGAUUGGAGCGGCCGAUGUCAGAUUAGGUAGUUGGCGGGGUAAAGGCUCACCAAGCCAACGAUCUGUAGCUGGUCUGAGAGGACGACCAGCCACACUGGGACUGAGACACGGCCCAGACUCCUACGGGAGGCAGCAGUGGGGAAUUUUGGACAAUGGGCGCAAGCCUGAUCCAGCAAUGCCGCGUGCAGGAAGAAGGCCUUCGGGUUGUAAACUGCUUUUGUACGGAACGAAACGGCUCUGGUUAAUACCCGGGGCUAAUGACGGUACCGUAAGAAUAAGCACCGGCUAACUACGUG
rnacentral:rRNA from 1 species